rnacentral:misc_RNA from 1 species
GAUGAAGAACGCAGCGAAAUGCGAUACGUAAUGUGAAUUGCAGAAUUCAGUGAAUCAUCGAAUCUUUGAACGCAUAUUGCGCUCUCUGGUAUUCCGGAGAGCAUGCUUGUUUGAGUAUCAGUAAACACCUCAACUCCCCUUUCUUUUUUUGAAAUGGGAGCUGGACUUGAGUGAUCCCAACGCUUUUCUCACCGAAAAGUGGCGGGUUACUUGAAAUGCAGGUGCAGCUGGACUUUUCUCUGAGCUAAAAGCAUAUCUAUUUAGUCUGCCUAAAAAACAGAUUAUUACCUUUGCUGCAGCUAACAUAAAGGAGAUUAGUUCUUGUGCUGACUGAUGCAGGAUUCACAGAGACAGCUUCGGCUGGACUUUGUAAACUCGAUCUCAAAUCAAGUAAGACUACCCGCUGAACUUAAGCAUAUCAAUAAGCGGAUGA